rnacentral:rRNA from 1 species
AGAGUUUGAUCAUGGCUCAGAUUGAACGCUGGCGGAAUGCUUUACACAUGCAAGUCGAACGGCAGCACGGACUUCGGUCUGGUGGCGAGUGGCGAACGGGUGAGUAAUAUAUCGGAACGUGCCCAGUCGUGGGGGAUAACGUAGUGAAAAUUACGCUAAUACCGCAUACGAUCUAUGGAUGAAAGCGGGGGAUCGCAAGACCUCGCGCGAUUGGAGCGGCCGAUAUCAGAUUAGGUAGUUGGUGAGGUAAAGGCUCACCAAGCCGACGAUCUGUAGCUGGUCUGAGAGGACGACCAGCCACACUGGAACUGAGACACGGUCCAGACUCCUACGGGAGGCAGCAGUGGGGAAUUUUGGACAAUGGACGCAAGUCUGAUCCAGCCAUUCCGCGUGCAGGACGAAGGCCUUCGGGUUGUAAACUGCUUUUGUACAGAACGAAAAGGUCUCUAUUAAUACUAGGGGCUCAUGACGGUACUGUAAGAAUAAGCACCGGCUAACUACGUGCCAGCAGCCGCGGUAAU